rnacentral:rRNA from 2 species
GUUCUUUUCUCGCAUGAGAGAAGAUGGAAAGACGGUUUACGCUGUCACUUAUAGAUGGGCCCGCGGCGCAUUAGCUAGUUGGUGAGGUAAUGGCUCACCAAGGCGACGAUGCGUAGCCGACCUGAGAGGGUGAUCGGCCACACUGGGACUGAGACACGGCCCAGACUCCUACGGGAGGCAGCAGUAGGGAAUCUUCCGCAAUGGACGAAAGUCUGACGGAGCAACGCCGCGUGAACGAAGAAGGCCUUCGGGUCGUAAAGUUCUGUUGUUAGGGAAGAACAAGUACCAGAGUAACUGCUGGUACCUUGACGGUACCUAACCAGAAAGCCACGGCUAACUACGUGCCAGCAGCCGCGGUAAUACGUAGGUGGCAAGCGUUGUCCGGAAUUAUUGGGCGUAAAGCGCGCGCAGGUGGUUCUUUAAGUCUGAUGUGAAAGCCCACGGCUCAACCGUGGAGGGUCAUUGGAAACUGGGGAACUUGAGUGCAGAAGAGGAAAGUGGAAAUUCCAAGUGUAGCGGUGAAAUGCGUAGAGAUUUGGGAGGAACACCAGUGGCGAAGCGACUUUCUGGUCUGUAACUGACACU